UGACCUGGAAUUCACUAUUUAGUCUCAGGGUGGCCUCAAACUCUCGGCGAUCCUCCUACCUCUGCCUCCCGAGUGCUGGGAUUAAAGGCGUGCACCACCACGCCCGGCCAGGUGUGAACUUUUUAGGGAGCAGUUUUCUUAAAGAGAUGACAGAGUGUCUUCCCUCUCACUGUUAGAGCUGCCGCAAGGUCAGUCCCAUGUUUGCAACUCUGGAGAGCUGUGGACUAUUGAAGGACUGCCCUCAGCAUCUGGCCUUGCUCUGCCUGGCAGUGGUGCCCCAUGAAGAAUGAUCUGACCUCCUCCGUGUGUCACUGAACCACCAGUGGAAUGACCUGGCACAGUGGUAUCGAGCUGGUUUUCUGUUUUGAACGUGAAACGUUGCCCAGAGGCUCAGGCGUUUGAACCUAGGCGGUGGCACUAUUUGGGAACACUCAGCAGGUAGAGUCUUGCUGGAGGAAGGAAGUCCCUUGGGGUGGGCCUUGAGGUUUUAUAGCAUCACUUCCUGUUCUCUUCCUGCUUCCUGACUGCCAGCGAUGGGACCCAGUGACCUUUUGUUCUUCCUGCCAGGAUGGUUGUACCCCUAGGAGUGUGCACUGAAGUAAACCCUUCCUAGCUCAACCUGCUCCUUGUCAGGUAUUUGGUCACAGCAAUGAGUAAAGGCUUUGCCCUCCUGGGUCCAGUUUCCUCACUUGCUCAGCGAGAAUUGUGUGAAUGAUCUGAAAUACCUCGGCCUCCCACAUGUGACAAUCAGGUGGUCUACCACCUAGAAUCAUUCUGUACAACAGAGAGUGUUUGGUAACUGUCAACAUCAAGAAAAAACCUGACAGGAAUAGGACCAAUAUGCAAUUUUAGAAAAUGGAGGAAGCCGGGUGUGGCAGUGCACAACUUUACUGCCAGGACUCCGGAGGCAGAGGCAUCCAUCUGGAAAUGGACCAAAAGCCUCUGAGAGUCUAGCAGUAGACUUGUCUCGGUUUCCUGUCCUGGGUGAUGACCCGGCAGGCUGGGCAGACCUCCGUCCAGGACACCUAUGCAGCACCUCAGCACCGCAGCAAGGGAGAGAGCGGGCGCGGGCCCAGAUCCACGGAGUAAACCCCACCAACUGAGGUCACCAGUGGGUGUCCUGAACCUGAGAGUGAAGGCAGUAGUUUCCAGUCUUUUCCAGACCCACCUUCCCUGACUCCUGGACUUUAACCUUCAAGACCCAGCAUAGCCGGUUUGGACCAGUACGGCGUGCAGCUGGGCAAGCAGCCGAGCUCCCCUCCCCCAGGCAGCCUUCCCCAGCAGCUCUUCCUGGAGGGCGAGGCAGGGCGAGGGGACGCCUCACGUGGGAUGUGGAGCCGCAUCCUCCGACUGGAAGUUGUCACCUGCUUUGGUUUGCAGGCUUAGGUAAAUGUCCCCGUAAUGCUGAUCCAGAGAGCUGCCUUUGGCAUGGCCAGACCUCACAAAAUGGAGGGUUACAUUCUGUUCUGGGGACACCUCCUUCCAGGAUGGCAGGAUGAUCCUCAAGUCACACACACCUCUCUGGUGUGUCCCUUAAUCUAGAAUCCCAACCCAAUAAUAAAGU